GAAAUGCGAUAAGUAGUGUGAAUUGCAGAAUUCAGUGAAUCAUCGAAUCUUUGAACGCACAUUGCGCCCCUUGGUAUUCCAUGGGGCAUGCCUGUUCGAGCGUCAUUUGUACCCUCAAGCUCUGCUUGGUGUUGGGUGUUUGUCCCGUCUCCGCGCGUGGACUCGCCCCAAAGUGAUUGGCAGCCGGCGUACUGGUCCCGGAGCGCAGCACAUGUCGCGCAAACGAGUGCCUUGGUACGGCGGCGUCCAUAAGCCCCUCUCUCACGCUCUUGACCUCGGAUCAGGUAGGGAUACCCGCUGAACUUAAGCA
rnacentral:misc_RNA from 1 species